ACCCUCCAGAUUCCUUAUCCCGCAGAUUAAACAUUGGUCUGAAUGGGUAUGAAAGAAGGAAAUGUUAAACUGAAGUGGACUUGGAUCCUUUAGUGACAAAUAAUUUCAUUUGUUAAAAAU
rnacentral:snoRNA from 1 species